CACACGGAGAGCGCAUGUGUUACACACACAAAGAAGUUAGUAAUAAAAAAUCCUCAAUUUGUUCGAAGUUCUGAAGUUGCUCCAAUAUUUCUUGAUUUUAAAAGUUCUAACAAUCAUAAAAAGUGACAAAAUCGCAACACGAGCCGACGAUAAUAAUGAUAGUGUACCGCAUUUUCACUGCAUCAAAAUGUCGAAGUACCACGUCCUGCGAUACCGGAUAACUUUCCAUCGUUUUUCGACCACCAGUUUGUUGAGACGGAAAUGGUUAAUCUUUUUCGGAUACAAAAGCUCGCUCUAUACGCCAAACAUAUUUGUUUAUUCGCUUCAUUUUUCGCCGGAUUCUUUUGGGGAUACUGUUUUAACCAAUAAUCUGCAAAUAAGACGUCUUCGUACUGGAGCUAUCCCAUGCAUUCGUUCCUUGGAUCGAAAACGGGAACGACACUGCCUCGAUAUAACCUUUCCACACAUAUGUUCAACGGUUUUUUGCAUUAUUUUUUAAUAAAAUUGCGAUAAUUCGACUGUUUUCAAUUUUAAAAUUGUUAAGCAAACUGCUAUUUCAUCAUUUCGAAACAUAUUCUGAGACAGUUCUUGUGUUAUAAUUUAAAAAAAUUGAAAACAUUCGAGGGCUUGUAUUCGAGACACGACCGCUUAGGACGUAGGACUUCGCAAUCUUUUUUUUU